rnacentral:tRNA from 1 species
GACGAGGUGGCAGAGAGGUUAAGGUGAAGGACUGCUAGUUCGUUGUACCCUACACAUGUGGGUUUGAAUCCCAUCCUUGUUA